UACGGGGGGGGCAAGCGUUGUUCGGAAUUACUGGGCGUAAAGGGCGCGUAGGCGGCCUGCUAAGUCGAACGUGAAAUCCCCGAGCUCAACUCGGGAACUGCGUCCGAUACUGGCAGGCUUGAAUCCGGGAGAGGGAUGCGGAAUUCCAGGUGUAGCGGUGAAAUGCGUAGAUAUCUGGAGGAACACCGGUGGCGAAGGCGGCAUCCUGGACCGGUAUUGACACUGAGGCGCGAAAGCCAGGGGAGCAAACGGG
rnacentral:rRNA from 1 species